UUUUUGAAGUCUUCGGAUGGAUAGAAGAACCCCUGAUGCCGUCGAGCCAAGAAAAGUUUCUAAGUUUAGCUAAUGUUGCCCGUACCGUAAACCGACACAGGUGGGUGGGAUGAGUAUUCUAAGGCGCGUGGAAGAACUCUCUUUAAGGAACUCUGCAAAAUAGCACCGUAUCUUCGGUAUAAGGUGUGGUUAGCUUCGUACUAGGAUUUACUCCGAAAGCGAAGAAACUUACAACAAAGAGUCCCUCCCGACUGUUUACCAAAAACACAGCACUCUGCUAACUCGUAAGAGGAUGUAUAGGGUGUGACGCCUGCCCGGUGCUCGAAGGUUAAUUGAUGGGGUUAGCAUUAGCGAAGCUCUUGAUCGAAGCCCGAGUAAACGGCGGCCGUAACUAUAACGGUCCUAAGGUAGCGAAAUUCCUUGUCGGUUAAAUACCGACCUGCAUGAAUGGCGUAACGAGAUGGGAGCUGUCUCAAAGAGGGAUCCAGUGAAAUUGUAGUGGAGGUGAAAAUUCCUCCUACCCGCGGCAAGACGGAAAGACCCCGUGGACCUUUACUACAGCUUGACACUGCUACUUGGAUAAGAAUGUGCAGGAUAGGUGGGAGGCUUUGAGUAUAUGACGCCAGUUGUAUAUGAGCCAUUGUUGAGAUACCACUCUUUCUUAUUUGGGUAGCUAACCAGCUUGAGUUAUCCUCAAGUGGGACAAUGUCUGGUGGGUAGUUUGACUGGGGCGGUCGCCUCCCAAAUAAUAACGGAGGCUUACAAAGGUUGGCUCAGAACGGUUGGAAAUCGUUCGUAGAGUAUAAAGGUAUAAGCCAGCUUAACUGCAAGACAUACAAGUCAAGCAGAGACGAAAGUCGGUCUUAGUGAUCCGGUGGUUCUGUGUGGAAGGGCCAUCGCUCAAAGGAUAAAAGGUACCCCGGGGAUAACAGGCUGAUCUCCCCCAAGAGCUCACAUCGACGGGGAGGUUUGGCACCUCGAUGUCGGCUCAUCGCAUCCUGGGGCUGGAGCAGGUCCCAAGGGUAUGGCUGUUCGCCAUUUAAAGCGGUACGCGAGCUGGGUUCAGAACGUCGUGAGACAGUUCGGUCCCUAUCUGCCGUGGGCGUAAGAAGAUUGAAGAGAUUUGACCCUAGUACGAGAGGACCGGGUUGAACAAACCACUGGUGUAGCUGUUGUUCUGCCAAGAGCAUCGCAGCGUAGCUAAGUUUGGAAAGGAUAAACGCUGAAAGCAUCUAAGCGUGAAGCCAACUCUAAGAUGAAUCUUCUCUAAGCUCUCUAGAAGACUACUAGUUUGAUAGGCUGGGUGUGUAAUGGAUGAAAGUCCUUUAGCUGACCAGUACUAAUAGAGCGUUUGGCUUAUCUUUAAUAAAGCAU
rnacentral:rRNA from 1 species